GUCUGGAAAAUGAAAUCUCAUCUCACUCUCUGGAAAUCCUGGAAACUUCUGGAAACCUGCCCAGGAGGAGAAUGCCAAGGAGUGGAGCUGUACACAGGAAGGAGAGAGCAGUACGGGUCACGGCAGUAUGGCGGAGCCACAGUUGCAGCAGAUGCAAGGGCCAGUCGCAGGCAGCAAGAGACCAGAAGCGGAGAGAGGUGGAGGGCCAUAAAGGUAGGAGGUUGUACAGGGUGCAGGGCUCCCAGCACCCUCUCCAUUUUCAAGGGGGAGAACUAUUGCUAUAGUAACACUAGACCUUGAAGAGCAUCCCUGUCCUCCUUGGGGCCUAUGGAAAUGUUCCCCACCUCUCUUCUUUCUCUGGGUCCUCUCCCCCAAACGCCCAUCCCCUGAGGCAAUGCACCUUGGGCUCCUCUCUUCCCCAAACUAAUUCAGCAAUGAGCCCUUCCAGGGAGUUGGGUCCAUCCCUGAGACACGGUUGAGCCCAUCCCACUGUGUCCAUUGAGUCACUCCCAGGCCUGUCCUCAAAGCAAGGCAACUUGAGGCCCUCACCAGCUUCCGGAAAUAUCAGGAUCCCCAGAAUAGGAAGACCCGAGCUCUGCAGCUGCCCCAGCCUCUUCAGGAGAGUUAUGUCAUUCCCUCUGUGGUUAUUUCCUUAUCUAUAAGCCUAAAGUGAGAGAAUCUUCUUCACAUACUCACAGGGAUGCUGAAAGGCCAAAUGAGGUAACAGAAGGGCGAGUUGUUUGAAAGACCAGCAACUGCAGACAAGUGGAAGGAAGCAUGACAUUUGUGAUCACUCACUGGCCACAAGUCAGUAGGGAGUGCUGGUCCACCCAUGCGGGCAUCACGCUCUGUGAAUCUCCUUCCCACCUGUCCUUCCUCCUGCCCUCUCUGGGGCUCCUGUCCAGUCCACCCCACCCUGGCACGUGCAAGUUCUUCUGCAGCUGCCUUUUUUGGAUAGUAACCCCUGCUCUACUUCAUCAGGGCAAGAUCCCAAACCUCAUUUCUCAUGGCAUCCCUUUUGCAGAAGCUGACCUUUCCCCAGAAAAGUCUCACUUCCCUGGGGUCAUCACCAUCACUCCAAGAGCCAGCAACUUCUCCCAGUCGCAGUGGAUUCAAAGGGCACAGUUGGAGACAUCCCCCUUCAGGGAACAGAGGAUCUCAUCCACUGCUGACUGAGGAAGGGCCAGCAGCGAGUUGGCUCUAAUGCCACCUGCUCAGCCUCUCUCCCCACCCCUUGGCUGAUUCCCUAUAACGGUGUGUCCAGAUGCCCAUCCCUGUCUCUAAGCUCCUAUUCCUACUCACCCUCCCUUUCGGUAAUAACAAAGUUCUUUCCUGUCCUGGAGAAGGCUGCUGGAAUCCAAAAGAUCUCGCUCUGUGCUUGGAG
rnacentral:lncRNA from 12 species